CCUACGGGAGGCAGCAGUGAGGAAUAUUGGUCAAUGGGCGGGAGCCUGAACCAGCCAAGCCGCGUGAAGGAAGAAGGCGCCAGGCGUCGUAAACUUCUUUUGUCGGGGAACAAAGGGCGCCACGUGUGGCGUUGUGAGUGUACCCGAAGAAAAAGCAUCGGCUAACUCCGUGCCAGCAGCCGCGGUAAUACGGAGGAUGCGAGCGUUAUCCGGAUUUAUUGGGGUUAAAGGGUGCGUAGGCGGUCCGGAAAGUCAGCGGGAAAAGCCCGGGGCUCAACCCCGGCGAGCCGUUGAAACUGUCGGACUAGAGAGGGCGAGAGGUGCGCGGAAUGCGCGGUGUAGCAGUGAAAUGCAUAGAUAUCGGGAAGAAAACCGAUUGCGAAGGCAGCGUACCGGCGCAGGACUGACGCUGAGGCACGAAAGCGUGGGUAUCGAACAGGAUUAGAUACCCGAGUAGUC
rnacentral:rRNA from 1 species